rnacentral:misc_RNA from 1 species
GGUUCUUAUAGACCCCGGAUGGGCAUGUGAUAUUGUUAUUGUAGGUCUGAGGCCCUGUGUGCUAUGUUUGUUUGAGUUUUCUUGCAGGGGUUUGGUUUAGUUUUAGGGGACACUCUGCUGAAAUUUCAGCAAAAUGUUAGGAUUAAUUUCUUACUUCUUAGAUUUAAUUUAAUUAUUUUAUGAAUCCGUUGAUAUAGGUCAGUGUGCUUCUAUAGGUGAUUG